CCUACGGGAGGCAGCAGUGGGGAAUAUUGCGCAAUGGGCGAAAGCCUGACGCAGCGACGCCGCGUGAGGGAUGAAAGUCUUCGGAUCGUAAACCUCUGUCAGCAGGGAAGAACGGUCACUGUGCUAAUCAGCAGUGAAUUGACGGUACCUGCAAAGGAAGCACCGGCUAACUCCGUGCCAGCAGCCGCGGUUAUUCGGAGGGUGCGAGAGUUAAUCGGAAUUACUGGGCGUAAAGCGCUCGUAUGCGGUAUGUCAAGUCAAUGGUGAAAUCCCCGCGCUCAACGUGGGAACUGCCUUUGAAACUGGCAAACUGGAGUGUGUGAGAGGAUAGUGGAAUUCGAGGUGUAGGAGUGAAAUCCGUAGAUAUCUGGAGGAAAAUCGGUGGCGAAGGCGACUAUCUGGCACAUAACUGACGCUGAGGAGCGAAAGCGUGGGUAGCAAACAGGAGUAGAUACCCGUGUAGUC
rnacentral:rRNA from 1 species